AAUUCUCAACCUUACUAGCUUUUAUGAGCAUUGUAAUGGCUUGGAUGUGGGGGUCUUUUUUUUGCUGGCUUCGAAAGAAAUCAGCUCCCCUAAAAUGUAUUAGCUGGUGCCCCCGUGUGGACUAUCUACUGGUGUGAUAAUUAUCUAUGCCGUUAGAUGUCUGCUUUAAAUAGGGAUGUGCUGCUUCUAAUUGUCCACUUAGGACACUUAUUGACU
rnacentral:misc_RNA from 1 species